rnacentral:rRNA from 1 species
GUUAACGAACGAGACCUUUGCCUGCUAACUAGACACAAACAUUAUAUGUUUGCUGUCUUCUUAGAGGGACUUUGUGGGCUACAAACCGCAAGGAAGUUGGAGGCAAUAACAGGUCUGUGAUGCCCUUAGAUGUCCUGGGCCGCACGCGUGCUACACUGACGCAUACAGCGAGCACUUUCCAGUUCCGAGAGGCUACUGGUAAUCAUCAAUAUGCGUCGUGAUGGGGAUAGAUCUUUGGAAUUCUGGAUCUUGAACGAGGAAUGCCUAGUAAUCGCAGGUCAUUAGCCUGCGAUGAUUAAGUCCCUGCCCUUUGUACACACCGCCCGUCGCUACUACCGAUUUCGAGUGGUCAGGUGAAUCUUUCGGACUGUGGAAGGCCUCGAGUUUUUCGCGGAAAGUCAGGUAAAUCUUAUCACUUAGAGGAAGUAA